rnacentral:rRNA from 1 species
UACGUAGGGUGCGAGCGUUGUCCGGAAUUAUUGGGCGUAAAGGGCUCGUAGGCGGUCUGUCACGUCGGGAGUGAAAACACGGGGCUUAACCCCGUGCCUGCUUCCGAUACGGGCAGACUAGAGGUAUGCAGGGGAGAACGGAAUUCCUGGUGUAGCGGUGAAAUGCGCAGAUAUCAGGAGGAACACCGGUGGCGAAGGCAGGUCUCUGGGCCACUACUGACGCUGAGAAGCGAAAGCAUGGGGAGCGAACAGG